rnacentral:rRNA from 1 species
AUGCGCAGCUACGACGAAGACUCGCAGCCGCUAGCUGCAACACUGUCGGCGCCCGGACGGCGGCCGUGCGCGUCCCAGACCGAUCAGUACCGGCGCGCUGCGCGCGCAGCCAUCCUCCCUUUGCCAUGGCCGCGGACGCAGGAGAACACCCGGAACGCGCGCGAGAGCGACCCGAUCUUGCUCUUCUUGGUCUUGGUCUUUUUGGUCUUGCCGCCGCGGGCCGGCCCGACCACGCGCCGCCACAGCGCCUCUAGCGACGUCGGCGCCCUCCUCCUGGCCGCCGGCCUCGUCGUCGCCGCCUUCUUCCUCAUCCACAUCUUGCGGCCGGUCGAACGUAUACAACGCAAAGCUUCUUGA